rnacentral:misc_RNA from 1 species
GAUGAAGAACGUAGCGAAAUGCGAUAAGUAAUGUGAAUUGCAGAAUUCAGUGAAUCAUCGAAUCUUUGAACGCACAUUGCGCCCGCCAGAAUUCUGGCGGGCAUGCCUGUUCGAGCGUCAUUUCAACCCUCGGUCUCCCUCCGGGAGAGACCGGCGUUGGGGACCGGCACUUACCCCGCCGGCCCCGAAAUGAAGUGGCGGCCCGUCCGCGGCGACCUCUGCGUAGUAACUCCACUCGCACCGGGACCCGGGCGCGGCCACGCCGUAAAACCCCCAACUUCCGAAUGUUGACCUCGAAUCAGGUAGGAAUACCCGCUGAACUUAAGCAUACAAUAAGCGGAGGA